rnacentral:rRNA from 1 species
UACGUAGGUGGCAAGCGUUGUCCGGAAUUAUUGGGCGUAAAGAGCUCGUAGGCGGUCUGUCGCGUCGGCUGUGAAAACCCGAGGCUCAACCUCGGGCCUGCAGUCGAUACGGGCAGACUAGAGUUCGGCAGGGGAGACUGGAAUUCCUGGUGUAGCGGUGAAAUGCGCAGAUAUCAGGAGGAACACCGGUGGCGAAGGCGGGUCUCUGGGCGAG